rnacentral:sRNA from 1 species
UUCUACUUCUACUUCUACAGUAAGCGACAGUGGUGGUUUGGCACCAGAUUUUGCCUUCGUAGCAGGCUUCAGUUUUAUGUAUGAUUUGCUCGAGAACGCCACAGAUAAUUUUGAUCCCGCAAACAAAUUAGGCCAAGGUGGAGCUGCUUCCGUGUUCAAAGGAACCCUCCCCACUGGGAAGACUGUUGCUGUUAAACGAUUAUCUUUUAAUAAACGGCAAUGGACAGAGGGGUUCUUCAAUGAGGUCAAUUUGAUUAGUGGGAUUCAACACAAGAAUGUGGUGAAGCUUUUGGGGUGCAGCAUCGAAGGCCCUGAAAGCCUGUUGGUUUAUGAAUUUGUGCCCAAUGGAAGUCUUGAUCAAGUCCUUUUCGGUAAGGGCUCAGAAGAUGCUCUGAACUGGGAAAAACGGUUUCAAAUCAUAUGUGGGAUAGCUGAGGGCCUAGCAUACCUUCAUGAAGGUUCUGGAACAAAGAUUAUUCACAGAGACAUAAAGUCGAGCAACAUUCUAUUUGAUGAGAAUAUGAAUCCAAAAA